AAAGUCCUGAAUAUGGAGUAGCUUUCCUGCACUGACCAGCAUCACUGGACUGUCAGCAUUAGAGACGUUGAUCCAAAGCUCAUUCUCACCACCUGUUUCUGGCACCAUCAAGGUGACUGUCUGCCUCAAGAAGGAAAAUGAAGCCUGCUGUUGUUCUUAUUUUGCUGUUAUUUGCUGCUUAUUAUAAUGAUGCACUCAACUGCUAUAAAUGUGUCGGUACUGGGAAGUAUGCAAGUUGUAUCCAGAAAUCUUUUACCUGUCCCAAGGGACAGACCAAAUGCCUCUCAGCUUCUUUCAUCCCUCCAAAUUAUGGUUAUUACCGCAACUGUGCCACACCAGGGGAAUGUACUCGUGCACCAGGAAUCAAUAUCACGUGUUGUGCUACAAACCUCUGUAAUGUAUAGAGGCUGAGUGUAGUCAUACAGUAUGAAUUAUGGUGGCUGCAUAACCACAUCUUCUGUGUUUAAAACACUGUAGCCUUCUCUACAAUAAUGCAAACUUGUGUAGAAACUAGUAUGUCUCUUAAAUGUAUAUCAAAAUAAAACUGUACCAGUAACAAUUUAUUAAAGCAUGGCAUUGUAUAUGUGUAAUUGUAGAAACUAUAUAAAACAUGGAGCACAUAUGGGACAGUUAGGAAUAACUGGUUUAUUCCACCACCAAAAUGAUCAGAUUGCUAGUGGCCUGUCCUGUUUUACUGUUGUAAUCACUAUAAAUCCAGACUCCUUUAUGUCAAAAUAAUGAUAAUGUUGAAUAACAAAUGCAUAUUUUAUACUACAAAAGCUCUGCUAUCCAUUUUAAUUAUUUGAAAUAAAACAUACAUACAUAUAUGUCACAUUUAGCCACUUUGUGAGACAGACUGGUAUUUGGGUCUCACUGAAGAUACUAUGAAAUAAACAUUAUUGUAAAAUAUUGCUUGUUGCUCCGAAAUGAAACAUUAAUCUGUAAUGUAACCUGCCUGGCAGUCUGAAAUGCAAAAUAUCACUCUGAAAUAAAACCUACAUGUGGUCUAAAAUGUAAAA